rnacentral:rRNA from 1 species
GGUUUACCUGUGUGACUGCGUACCUUUUGUAUAAUGGGUCAGCGACUUAUAUUCUGUAGCAAGGUUAACCGAAUAGGGGAGCCGGAGGGAAACCGAGUCUUAAUUGGGCGUUAAGUUGCAGGGUAUAGACCCGAAACCCGGUGAUCUAGCCAUGGGCAGGUUGAAGGUUGGGUAACACUAACUGGAGGACCGAACCGACUAAUGUUGAAAAAUUAGCGGAUGACCUGUGGCUGGGGGUGAAAGGCCAAUCAAACCGGGAGAUAGCUGGUUCUCCCCGAAAGCUAUUUAGGUAGCGCCUCGUGAAUUCAUCUCCGGGGGUAGAGCACUGUUUCGGCUAGGGGGCCAUCCCGGCUUACCAACCCGAUGCAAACUGCGAAUACCGGAGAAUGUUAUCACGGGAGACACACGGCGGGUGCUAACGUCCGUCGUGAAGAGGGAAACAACCCAGACCGCCAGCUAAGGUCCCAAAGUCAUGGUUAAGUGGGAAACGAUGUGGGAAGGCCCAGACAGCCAGGAUGUUGGCUUAGAAGCAGCCAUCAUUUAAAGAAAGCGUAAUAGCUCACUGGUCGAGUCGGCCUGCGCGGAAGAUGUAACGGGGCUAAACCAUGCACCGAAGCUGCGGCAGCGACACUGUG